UACGUAGGGUGCGAGCGUUAAUCGGAAUUACUGGGCGUAAAGUGUGCGCAGGCGGCCGAGCAAGUCGAGUGUGAAAUCCCCGGGCUUAACCUGGGAACUGCAUUUGAAACUGGCGGGCUUGAGUGUGGCAGAGGGGGGUGGAAUUCCGCGUGUAGCAGUGAAAUGCGUAGAGAUGCGGAGGAACACCGGUGGCGAAGGCGGCCCUCUGGACGGAUACUGACGCUGAGGCGCGAAAGCGUGGGGAUCAAACAGG
rnacentral:rRNA from 1 species